rfam:Enterococcus asini ATCC 700915 genomic scaffold acvKe-supercont1.3, whole genome shotgun sequence.
CCAUUACGGAUAGCGCCAGGCCUGUAAGACAGGUGACGAGGAGAGAGCUUAUCGAAAGAUUCGGCGGGUGGCUCUGGGGACUGCACUCCUUAGCUCAAGGCAAAACACGCUUGUGAAGGCGUGAGACAAAGACUUGGGCCGCAGGAAA